GACGAACGCUGGCGGCGUGCUUAACACAUGCAAGUCGAACGAAGUGGCGAACGGGUGAGUAACGCGUAAUCAACCUGCCCUUCAGAGGGAGAGGACAGGUGUAAGCGACUGCUAAUACCACAUACUGAAGGCGUGUAUUGUGUCUGAUUAGUUAGUUGGCGGGGUAACGGCCCACCAAGGCGAUGAUCAGUCGGCGGUCUGAGAGGAUGAACGGCCACAUUGGGACUGAGACACGGCCUAGACGCGUACGGGAGGCAGCAGUGGGGAAUUGGCCGCAAGGGACGAAAGUCUGAAGGGGCAACGCAGGGUGAGUGAUGACGGCCGUCGGGUUGUAAAGCUUGGUAAAUCGGGACGCGGUACCGGAAUAGAAAGCCACGGCUAACUACGUGCCAGCAGCCGCGGUAAUUC
rnacentral:rRNA from 1 species